rnacentral:rRNA from 1 species
AUUGAACGCAGGCGGCAUGCUUUACACAUGCAAGUCGAACGGUAACAGGCCUUCGGGCGCUGACGAGUGGCGAACGGGUGAGUAAUGCAUCGGAACGUGCCCAGUCGUGGGGGAUAACGCAGCGAAAGCUGUGCUAAUACCGCAUACGAUCUAUGGAUGAAAGCGGGGGACCGUAAGGCCUCGCGCGAUUGGAGCGGCCGAUGUCAGAUUAGGUAGUUGGUGGGGUAAAGGCUCACCAAGCCAACGAUCUGUAGCUGGUCUGAGAGGACGACCAGCCACACUGGAACUGGGACACGGUCCAGACUCCUACGGGAGGCAGCAGUGGGGAAUUUUGGACAAUGGGCGCAAGCCUGAUCCAGCAAUGCCGCGUGCAGGAAGAAGGCCUUCGGGUUGUAAACUGCUUUUGUACGGAACGAAGCGGCGAGCUCUAAUACAGUUUGCUAAUGACGGUACCGUAAGAAUAAGCACCGGCUAACUACGUGCCAGCCGCCGCCGUAAAAC